rnacentral:lncRNA from 1 species
GCUUCCCCAUCUUAACAGGGAUAACAGCAGCGCUCACGUCACAAGGCAGCUGCAAGGACAGGAAAAGCCCCUGGAACCGUGCCUGGCACAGAGGAAGCCCUCAGUUAUGCCAGCUACACAGUCCAUUGCUAUUAUCUCCUUUAAUCUCAAAACUACACUAAGAGAUGUAUACCAUUAUCUUUAUUUUUUUAAAGAGGAAACAGGUCCAGGGAGGUGAAGUCGGUGACCCAAUGUCACACAGCAGAAAUGAGCCACCAUUCAAUUUCUACUCUGUCUGACUCCAAAGCCUAGGCACAAGUCUUCCACAAAACUUGUGGACCAGGGAGUUCCCUGGUGGCUCAGUUGGUUAAGUAUCUGGCAUUAUCACUGCUUGGCUCGGGUCCCUGCUGUGGCAGAGGGUUCGAUACCUGGCCUGGGAACUUACGCGUGCUGUGGGCACAGCCAGAAACAAAACAAACAAAAAAACCUUGGGAAACAGAGGCUGGAUUCCUGGGAUCCAGAUCCAGAAGAGGCUUCCCAAGGACAUAGUAUGUGGCCCAACUCCUUCCCUUUACAGAGAAGGGAGGUGAAGGCGCAGGGCCCCGUGGCAUGUCAGACUAGGGGAAUCUGGGGCCAAGGCUUCGAGACUGAUGGGCAGGACAGGUCACUGCCUCUGCAAGCAGUCACCGCAUGCCCAUUUCCAGCCAGAUCAGCUGGGAGAGUGCGCGCGGGCCUCUGGAGCAUCAACUGGGGGAGAAGGCAGCGUCUGUGCUGAAAGAUCACCUACCUGGCUCCACCCUCAGGCUGGCAAAGAUCACCUCAAGAGACUCCCAGCACCCCAACCCCCUUAGCUCAGGCCUGCAGCCCAGAACCCCUGAACUCCCGACAGCCCCCCUCUGCGGCCUUGUACCCCCCAUAGGGAGGAAGUUGGGCAAUUACAGACGACCUUUGCAGGGGAGCAGAAUGUAAACUGGGAUCCAUUUGCCUGUGCAAUCUUCAUAAUUACCGCAGCAAUUAUUCACAAUGAGCCACUGCAACAAGGCUUCAGCGCAGGUGCUGAGCCCCCAACACUAGCCCCUGCCUUCCCCCUCAAAGGCUGUCCUUCGUCCCAUGGCAUAAUCUGCAUCCGUGCAACCUGCUGCCUCUCCACUCUCCUGCUAACAAGUGCACGGUGGGCUAUGGGUAAAUCAUCAACCCACGUUUGGGAAAUGUUAGGGGGUACAGGACAGAAUUCCUGAAUAUUUCCUGUUCUUCUCUCACUGUCAACUUUUCCAAUAAUGGAAAGCUCCUUUUUUUCCCCCAUAUCUAAAUAAGCACUUGAGGGGUUAAGGGACAAGAUGCGAGUCAUACACACUUUAGUAUAAAUAAGUUCUUUUACUCAGCCAGCUUUCUGCCUAAUGCCUAGCUGAGAUCCUGCCCUCCUGGAGGUGGGGGUGGGAAUUAGGAGGGUUGCUAGAAGAGGAAAGAGAAGACAGCAGGAAGAGGGAUGGAAGGGAGGUGAUAAAUGGGGUUUUUUUUGGGGGGCACACCCGUGGCAUAUGGGGGUUCCCAGGCUAGGGGUCCAAUUGGAGCUAUAGCUGCCAGCCUACACCACAGCCACAGCAACGCAGGAUCUGACCCUGUCUGUGAUCUACGCCACAGCUCACGGCAAUGCCAGAUCCUUCACCCACUGAACGAGGCCAGGGAUCGAACGCGCAACCUCAUGGAUGCUAGUUGGGUUCAUUAACUGCUGGGCCACGACGGAACUCCCCAGGUGAUAAAUGGAUUCUUGGCCCAGGUGUGGCUCCCAGGGAGUCCAUUGGGCCCACCCUGUGUCCCUCUGCAUGACAGAGGGGGGCAGUCACGGCCCCUGUCUGGGCCUGGUGUCUGCCCUGCAGGUGAAGGGCCCUGGGGGGGAGGCUGGAAGAGCAGGAUGUAGACUCACAUCCUGAUAUCCAUGCUCCCCUGCCUGCGGAAUCCACCAGACCCUGUUCAAAACCCCAGUCCCGUCCCUUCCUGACAAGUCACCCUUGGGCCCACUUUCUCAUGUGCAAAGCGGGAACAAUGGUGCCUGUGUCCCACAGCGGCCGUGGGAACAGCAGUGAGGAUCCGUGUCGCACAGCACCUCUGCCUGCCGGCUCUCGGCUCUCGGCCCUGCUGCGUGUUCUGAGAAAAGGAUGCGGGCUACAGAGGAGCCGCUCUCGUGCCCCCCUGCCGCUCCCCACCCUGGGCUCUGCCUCCCUCCCACUGGGCACAGCCGCUGCCCUCCUGGCUUCCCUUGGAGGAGAGGUGCUGAGAGCCUCAGAGCAGGGUGGGGGUACCCAGGGUGGGGGGAUACUCAAGGGGGUGCUUGAGUUUGGGGGUUUGGAGGAUGUGGGUUAGGCUGGAGAACCCCAAGAGAAGCUAUGGGAACUAAACUGGGGACCCAACUCUGGUGUCCCACAGCCGCGUGGCACCUGAGUGCCCGGCCCUUCCCUCCUCUGCCACCGUACCACGAGGCCCUACUGCGCAGAACUGCUGAGGCUAUAAGUGGAUCGUUAGGUUGGUUUCUAAAAUGGAAAAAGCCCAAUGCCUGUAACACCCAGACUGAGUCUCUGAAGACUAUUCUCCAUGAACUGGAUCCACAGGGAAAAGACAACCCACAGAAGGAGGGAAAAAAUAUUCACAAAGCAUCUAUCUGAUAAGGGGGCUAGUAUCUAAAAUACAGAAAGAACUCAAACAAUAGGAGUUCCUGCUAUGUUGCAACGGGAUCAGCUGCAUCUUGGGAGUGCUGGGGGAUGCAGGUUCAAUCCCGGGCGGGCAUAGUAGGUUAAGAAUCCGGUAUUGCUGCAGCUACAGCUUAGGUCGCAACUGUGGCUCUGAUAUGAUCCCUGGCCCGGGAACUCCAUAUACCAAAGGGCAGCGAAAAAACAAACAAACAAAACUCAACAAUAACUGGGAGUGCCCAUGGUGGCUCAGUGGUAAUGAAACCAACUAGUAUCCAUGAGGACACUGGUUUAGUACCUGGCCUUCUCAGUGGGUUAAGGAUCCAGUGUUGCCGUGAGCUGUGGUGUAGGUUGCAGACUCGCUCGGAUCCCGAGUUGCUGUGGCUGUGGUGUAGGGUGGUAGCUACAGCUCUGAUUUGACCCCUAGCCUGGGAACUUCCAUAUGCCACGGGUGCGGCUCUAAAAAGACCAAAAAAAAAAAAAAGACAAAUUACCCCCCAAAAUGGGGGCAGGAGUUCUGGCUGUGGCUCAGCAGAAACAAACCCAACUGAUAUCCAUGAGUAUGUGGGUUCGAUCCCUGGCCCCACUCAGUGGGUUAAGGAUCUGGCAUUGCUGUGGCUGUGGUAUAGGUUGGCAGCUGCAGCUCGGAUUUGACCCCUAGCCUGGGAACUUCCAUAUACCCCAGGUAUGGCCCUAAAGAGAAAAAAAAUUUAAGAAAAAAAAAUGUUUUUAAUUAAAAAACCCAAAAGUUUGCUAAUAACUAAAUAUCUGCAAGAAUGUAGAGUACAUAUUUCUUGUGAACUGGUGCAACCACUUUAGAAAACAGUAUUAUCUAGUAAGUUUGCUGAUGCACCUGUCCCAUGACCCAGCAAUUCCACUCCUAAGAUACAUCCUGUGGAACUGUAUGCACAUGGAUGAGAACAUUCUGAGUAGCACUUUUUCACGACAGCUAGUCAGAAACAACCUUGAUGUCUGUAAACAAGUAAACUGAGUAAGUAAAUCAGAGUAAAUUCACAAAAAGGAACACUAUGCAAUGGAAAAAAAAAAACGAGAAAGGACUACUGCUACAAAGAACAAUCUAGAUGCAAGGUAAAAAGAAUGUUUUUUGUUUGUUUGUCUGUCUGUUUGUUUGUUUAGGGCAGAAUCCGUGGCAUAUGGAGAUUCUCAGGCUAGGGGUCGAAUCAAGCUGCAGCUGAAGGCCUAUACCACAGGCACAGCAACUCGGGAUCCAAGCCAUGUCUGUGACCUACACCACAGCUCAUGGCAACACCAGAUCCUUAACCCACUGAACGAGGCCAGGGAUUGAACAGAGUCCUCACAGAUACUAGUAGGGUUCAUUAACCAGUGAGCCACAAAGGGAACUCCAAGAGUAUGUUGAUUGAAAAAAAAAAAAAAAAAAGGCAGACAUAUAAGAAUACAUAAUUCUAUUAAUUAAAAUUCAAAAAGAGACAAUUAUUUAGUUUUGGAUGCACCUAUGUCGUAAAACCCAAAACAAAGUAGCCAAUAAUCCCAAAUAUUUAGAAUGGUGGGUCCCUCCANNNNNNNNNNNNNNNNNNNNNNNNNNNGGCCUUAUAGGGGGGGCCCUGCAGCUGCAACAACUUUCUGUUGUGACCUAGAUGGUAGCAAUUUGGGUGCUGGCUUUCUAUUAGUUUGUUUCUAUUUUAUGCAUUUUUAUAUUUUAAAACUGGGGAAAAUACUCACUGGUCCCCUUUGGAGGUUGUUAGAGCACCAACUCAUUUCUCUAAAAACUGAUAAAGGGAAAAUGAGUCAAGCCUUUCUCCUAUUGUAUAUACCAUAAUGCAGGAUCACAAAACAGGUGCAGAGAGGAAGGUCUUUCUAGAGGUCCAGCAAACAAAAGGAUCAAAUUAGAAAACUCUCCAUUGGGCAGGGAGAAAAAUGUGAUAGAAACCUGACUUGCCGCAAAGGUGGGAGGCAUCCCCCUCCCAAACACCCUACCCCCCCAACCCGGGCCACUGCUAGCAACAAGCAUUUCCCUGACGACCACAGCAACUCCAGCCAUCCCAGCCAGGCUGUGAGCAGAGGGACCACUCUAUGGCCAUGCCAACAGGGACAUGGGCUUAUCUUCAGGUGCUGUACAUGUUACUUUGUUUCCAGAAUUUGUACAAAUUUGUGCAGAGUUCUGGGGGCGGGGGCAGGCACCUCCUGAGCAUGGCCGGUGGAGGAGGCGUCCAGGCCUCAGGUUCAGGGCAGAGGCCCAGCCUCACGGCCCUGGUCCAGAGCAGCCUCGGGGUGAGGCAGUCAAGGGGUCCUAGGAGGAGCAGGGGGGCUCAGGGUCUGGUGCUGAUGCAGGCUGGGGUCUACUGCUUCAUGGAUCCCCAACACCAAGGCAGCCUGGAGGCUGCUCCCUACCCGUAUGGCCCUCAGAUGGAAAUGUUGGGACUUGAUUUCUCCCGGGGGGCUUCUCUUGGUCCCACUUGGGAGUGGUGGGGAGGGAAGGAAGCAGACUGUGACUUGCCACCCCGCCUGUGGCCGGGUCCAGGGUCACCCGAGCCAGCUCUGUCGCUUACCUGGCCAGCUGGUGUGAGGGGGAUGGGUCCCAAUGCCCACCCAGGGCCAGUGACAAAGUGCUAGGAAAGGGGGCAGAGGCAGGGAUCUUGGGCCCUGUGGCGUGGGGAGGCCUCCCAUCAGAGGCACCCUGUCUGGGACAGGGCCAAGUGGGGCAGGUGAGAUGGCAGCCAGUCACCCAACACUAGGAGAGCAGGCGGCAGUGGCCGCCUGGUGCCCGAUGAAGCUGCUGAUAAGAGGUGACACCCAAUAUCCUGCUGCAGGUGGGGCGGGAGGAGGGGAGGCAGGAGUGGAGACAGCCGUGUUCAAAGGGUGAGGUUUCUGUUUUUGUUUUUGUUUUAGGGCUGCCCCUGCUGCCUAUGGACGUUGCCAGGCUAGGGGUCAAAUUGGAGCCAUAGCCCCUGGCCUACACCACAGCCACAGCCACUCCAGAUCCAAACCGCAUCUGCGACCCACACCACAGCUUGCAGCCAUGCGACACCCUUAACCCACUGAGCGAGGCCAGGGAUCAAACCCACAUCCUCCAUGGAUACUAGUCAGGUUCUUAACCCGAUGAGCCAUGAUGGGAACUCCCAGAGGGCGUUUUGAAUCCCAGCUAUAUAACAACACAAGCAGGAACCAGGAGCUUUAAGCCCCUCUGCCGCCUCAGCUCACCCAUCUGAAAACAGGGUGCUGGGAAGGUGACACGAGCUCUGACACAAGCAGCCUUGCAUGGUGCCCAGCACAUGGGAAGUGCUCAACAAACACCACAUGCUGCUGUUAUGGAAGUUGGGGCUGCUGCUGAGGGCUCAGCAGGGGGAAGCAGGGUGGGGUCAGCUCAAUGCAACACAGAUCCACAGAGGGAAAGCCCCAGGGGACCAGGACCAAGAGGGUUUCACCACCAUGGCCGGUGCCUGGUUCAGUCUGGGCACACAGCACUCAACAUAUAUUUGUUGAAUGAUUGCAUGAGAGUAAAACUAUGAACCCAUAUCCACUAACACAAUGUAUUAACAAAUUAGAGCAUCCCGUGUAAGAAUCCGAACUCUAAUCCCAGGUCUGCCCCCUUUCUGGCUGUGCAACCCCAGGCAAGGCAUCCCUGCCCCCAACCUCACCUUCCUCAUGGACCAAAUAGGAAUACUGGUAAUUAAUAAAUACCUUUCUCACAGUGUCAAAGCAGAAAUUGGACAUGAGGGUGGACUUGAUGCUGUCAGCACCCCUUUCUCAGAUGGGGUACCCAUCCCCAAGUCUCUGCACGUGUGGGUUGCUAAUGGCUCAUAGAUUCUCCCUUCUCUUGGGAGUUCUUGUUGGUUGGUUGGUUGAGUUUUUAUUAAAGUAUAGUUAAUUUACAAUAUUACUUUCAGGUGCACAGUAUAGUUUUUUGUUGUUGUUUUUUUUGUCUAUUUAGGGCCGCGCCAGCAGCAUCUGGAGCGUC